UACGUAGGGUGCGAGCGUUGUCCGGAAUUACUGGGCGUAAAGAGCUCGUAGGUGGUUCGUCGCGUUGUCCGUGAAAACUCACAGCUUAACUGUGGGCGUGCGGGCGAUACGGGCAGACUGGAGUACUGCAGGGGAGACUGGAAUUCCUGGUGUAGCGGUGGAAUGCGCAGAUAUCAGGAGGAACACCGGUGGCGAAGGCGGGUCUCUGGGCAGUAACUGACGCUGAGGAGCGAAAGCGUGGGGAGCGAACAGG
rnacentral:rRNA from 1 species